rnacentral:snRNA from 1 species
GUGCUCGCUUCAGCAGCACGUAUACUAAAAUUGGAACGACACAGAGAAGAUUAGCAUGGCUCCUGUGCAAGGAUGACAUGCAAAUCCGUGAAGCGUUCCAUAUUUUU